rnacentral:rRNA from 1 species
GACGGAGGAUGCAAGUGUUAUCCGGAAUCACUGGGCGUAAAGCGUCUGUAGGUGGUUUAAUAAGUCAACUGUUAAAUCUUGAGGCUCAACCUCAAAAUCGCAGUCGAAACUAUUAGGCUAGAGUAUAGUAGGGGUAAAGGGAAUUUCCAGUGUAGCGGUGAAAUGCGUAGAUAUCGGGAAGAACACCAAAGGCGAAAGCGCUCUGCUGGGCCGAAACUGAACACUGAGAGACGAAAGCUAGGGGAGCGAAUGGGAUU